ACGCCUCAGCCAUGUGCCGGGACACGUCAAUCAAUUCGUUUCCUGUGUCCGCAAACGCAAACAACAACGUACUAUUCAACGUAAAAAAGAUGUUGAGCACAUAUAGCAUCUGGCGUGUCGGGAGACGAUGCUGACGUUCCCAUGACAACAACAUCGCUCUCCCUAAAAGCUGCAUUCAACGAAAUGGGCGUGACCACAAACGACAAUGGGUCCUAAUUACCGUUAUAAACGAGUAUGAGGUUUGGGUUUGGACGAUGAAGGAAUAGUACAGAAAGCGAAUUCACGAUAUCCCAUUCAUCAGAAGGUCGUCAACGGAAGAUUACAUGAAACCGGGGACCACGUCCAGCAAUCCUCCUCGUUUCCUCCCCACUAAAGACAGCGGGAUGCGGUCGCUUCAGCAGGUCACAAUCAGUCCGACGGUUCAACGGCCUACACCUUGUACCCUACUGCGUCUUCUGGAUGCGAAGGACCAUAGGGCAUGUGGAGGCACUAUGAGCUGGCUCCCCUCUUCUUUGUGCUCCGUUGUCUCUCUCCCCAUGUGCUGGGAGUCCCCACUUCCAUGGUACGACGAUAUUCGGAGCAGAAGACGAUGAAUGGUGGAUGGUGGUAGUGAGCCGCCGCCUCCCUGGUGGGAUAUAUUUUCCCGAGUGUUUUGGUGGAGAUGUGAGAAUGUCCGGCGAAGGACGCACGCGUCGGCUCGGUGCUGCCCCCCUGUGGACACCACGUGGAACUGUGCCCUUUGCGCGUCCCCGCCCGAUCGGCGCGCACACGCUCAGAGCAACGUACACGUUUACGCUUCCUAGACUGAAAACACUGAAAAGCAUCUUCGGAAAAUUCUCGAUAAAUAUCUACAUUAUUUCUUCACCGUACAAAACCCUUAAAUAAUUUAACAUAAUUUAAAGGUAUAGGAAUAAUUUGAAUAUGGAGUAACAAUGGAGUAACAAUGCCAUUAGGAUAGGUCUAUAUUUGACCAUAAUGAGAAUAUUUAAUAUGUCAAUUUACAUUGAGCUAAACUGGAAAAUAAGUAUAAUGUUUGUUAGCAUUAAGGGAUUUCUGUCAUUUUCUCAACAUUUUUAUUAUUUUACUUCUACCAUAAAAAUAUUUGGAGGUGGGAAUGAAUCAAAUAUGACGUUUUUUCAUGCAGAUCUGUGAUCUUAAGAAACAUGUUAUUCUUUAUCGUAUAAAAAUAAAAAAUCGAUAAAAAAUAUAUAGAAAUAUCGGAUCAUAUCCACGCAUACUCUGAAAACCUUCAAGAAGCGCUUGUUUAUUUGCAUUUGCAUGUUCGUCGUGUGAAGAAGUCAUGUUUCUGAAUGGAAGCAUUAGAAGCAGUGUUGACCAGUAAAAAAACCUCCAGGUUUCUCUGGUGGUUUCUCUGGUGUUAUUAGCUGAGAUUGGACGACGGAAGAGCACAUCAGAAGUUAAGUUACAGUGCAAAGGUCAUCUCUCUCGUCCAGACAUGCCUUCAGGUAGAAAACGGAUUUGGGAACAAUUUACAAUAUCAAGUUACUGAACAACUUAAUAGGCGCUUGGUUGAGUUUCCCGCUGCCUUGCCCGUCUGCCUUCGAGGCUAUUCAAGUGCCUGGUAAAAAAAGAAAAAAAAAAGAAACACAUACCAAACAAACCUCAUGCAUGUUACGAUACUUUUCAAACAAUACAUCUUCACCGUUCAACUACUAGAUCAACUGUAAAGCCUUUCGGUCUAUUUACACAUCAUCACGCAUGACAGAACAAAUUGGCAGUUUAGGUUGUGACUCGGUAUCAUUCCAGAUAAAAGAUGCCCGUCUCGUUAUUCAAUUAGAAGCACAAACAGUUGUGACUUCUCCAGAUUACAGUUGAGGAAGGCACGUGUUCUGUUAUUACUGAUGCCAUGCUACUUGGAAAAGGUUUGGAUAAAACCAUUGAGAUGCUGCAAACCACUGAUUUUAUAAAGUACCAUUCACAUGGGAAUUGCAAGUGGUUUAUUUGGUACAGACUAAAUACUGAAUUAUUCCUAACUAUUAUUAGUAUAAUAUUACAAUAUUGGAUUUGAGCAGAUCUGAUUUCAGAUUCUUCGACUGUUCACAUAUAAAUGAAUGUGAUAUCCACAUUUCAAUGUUGGUUAGUGUUUUACCAAGGUGGGUUGGUGUACCUGGACAAGAGAAGGCUUUAACAAGAAAAUAUUAACUUCCUUUAGUGCUUUCCUGAGUUGUUAAA